GAUGAACGCUGGCGGCGUGCCUAAUACAUGCAAGUCGAGCGAACAGACGAGGAGCUUGCUCCUCUGACGUUAGCGGCGGACGGGUGAGUAACACGUGGAUAACCUACCUAUAAGACUGGGAUAACUUCGGGAAACCGGAGCUAAUACCGGAUAAUAUAUUGAACCGCAUGGUUCAAUAGUGAAAGACGCUUUUGCUGUCACUUAUAGAUGGAUCCGCGCCGCAUUAGCUAGUUGGUAAGGUAACGGCUUACCAAGGCAACGAUGCGUAGCCGACCUGAGAGGGUGAUCGGCCACACUGGAACUGAGACACGGUCCAGACUCCUACGGGAGGCAGCAGUAGGGAAUCUUCCGCAAUGGGCGAAAGCUUGACGGAGCAACGCCGCGUGAGUGAUGAAGGUCUUCGGAUCGUAAAACUCUGUUAUUAGGGAAGAACAAAUGUGUAAGUAACUAUGCACGUCUUGACGGUACCUAAUCAGAAAGCCACGGCUAACUACGUG
rnacentral:rRNA from 1 species